rnacentral:lncRNA from 1 species
UGGUAGGCUUAGUGGCCAAGCAAGCUUUAAGAAGACAUUAGGGCUGGGGUUCGACCCAGUCUCUCCCCCCUUCCCCCUUGUUGUAGGGUUAUGCCCCCUCUUGAAACCAAAAAAAAAAAAUGUUAAAAGGAGGUUAAAAACCUUCAAUCUAUAUUUCGGGUGUUUAGUCUACCGUUAGGAGUGUACGUAUAUAGAAAAUAUGAAAAUUUCUUCAAUACAAUAAGUGAGAU